rnacentral:rRNA from 1 species
CACGUAGGGCGCAAGCGUUGUCCGGAAUUAUUGGGCGUAAAGAGCUCGUAGGCGGUCUGUUGCGUCUGCUGUGAAAACUCGGGGCUUAACCCCGGGCCUGCAGUGGGUACGGGCAGACUAGAGUGCGGUAGGGGAGACUGGAAUUCCUGGUGUAGCGGUGAAAUGCGCAGAUAUCAGGAGGAACACCGGUGGCGAAGGCGGCAUCCUGGACCAACACUGACGCUGAGGAGCGAAAGCCAGGGGAGCAAACGGG